AGCGCUCACUCUGGGGGAUUUUCAGAGUCAGGACCUGCUGUACUGCACACAGAUAGGUGUCAGAAUGUCCCUGUCUGUCCAUCCAGAGGCUUCCAUCUUGCCUGCAGUCAGAGACACCAAAACGAAACGUAUCAAACUUUUCAUUGUGAGCCCUGAGGAAAGGAUGAGAUGAGCUUACUGGUUUCCCUCCACACCUGAGCACCAACGGGCACAAACUGGAAUCCAUACUGCAGGUGUGGAGCAGGAACACGCCACUCAGACUGACCAAGAGAUCAUGUGGUUGCAUCAAGGCAAGGUUGAUGUAAAAAUGUGAAAAUCAAUCAUUUCAGCCCUGCUGCCUGCUUAAUUGACCGUCACACGUGUAUACACCCUCUCUACACCCAAGUGUCUCGUCGGCCACAGUGACAAACCCAGCCACUGUCCCAGUCCACCCCAGCCUCUGAGGUCGGCCCCCCAUUGAGGUAUACACCUCCUCUUCCCUCACACACGUCUGACACUCCACGUGGCAGCACCAGCGGACCUGACAGUGGCAGGACAGGCUGGUGAGUCGCAUGGCCGUGUUGUAACCUCGUCCACAGCACAUGCUCUGACAGCUGGUGUCUUUGGCGCACGACCGGCCGCCUGUACCCGGGGAGUAGCGAGAGGGUCUGCAGAAGCUCGGGGAGUCCUCCAGGUAGACCAGGUCAGUGGUUCGAAGGCUCUGGCCGUGUCGACGUGGGCCUGCAAGCUCUGUCUCUCCGGUGGCUGCGUUGGUGACGCUCAGCACUCGUACGGCCGUGUCGUAGCGAUACUUCAGUAGCCGGCCGGUGUCGUGGAAAGGAGACAGCUGCUUCCAGCAAGUCCGUACAGCACAGGAGCCGGAGACUCCAUGACACUUGCAGGUUGUUUUCAGGGCACUCUUCACUGCCUGAGAUGGAAGAAAAAGAAGGGGAGGGAGAGAUGUCAGUUCCUUCAGUUUGAUUCAUCACCUGGCCUCUUAUCUGGGAGGUCUAUCAGGACAGAAUGAGACAGUUUCCUGCAGGCUGGGUAGGGGGUUCGGGCUGGUGGUCUGCUAUCGUGCACCUUUAGCCCACCUCAGUCAAAAAUUUUGACAUAAUGGAUUGAGUGGGGACUGCUCAGCAUGCCGUAUUUCAUUUACCUCACAUUUCUCACUUGGACAGCUCCUGAAUUUGUUUUUCCCCCCAAUGUGUUGAAACUAGCUCGGUCUGUCUCUCUUCAUGAAGCCUGAGGCGGAGGUGACAAACAGUGCAGACAGUGGAAUCUCUCCACCCUGUUCUUUGUACAUGCCUGCUCAUGGAAAACAUUGAUAAGAAUUUCUGUGCAAGAAGUGCCAACAAAAAAAACGAGCAGUGGUUUGUGAUGGCACUCAGAUUUUGGGUAAUAGCUCAUGAGGUUGGUGGUCAGCGAUGAGAGUGCCAUCACUCAGCCUGAGAGCAGCUGUCGUGAAUCAGGGGCCAGAGACAGGUCAAACAGAGAGAGCCAGAGGGGACUUGUGGCUUGAAAAGUUCUGCUCCGUUCCUCCCAUCGCAGGUAUGAGCCCCUCAGGGGGCUCAGAGAGCCAUUACUGCGAGAUCGGGGGGCGGCGACCUCUCCUUGUUUUGUUGGCUCAUGGUCUCUCCUCCAGAGAGGUGUAAAGAGAGGAAAACAUUUACCUCAGUUUAGAUGAGAUAAGAUAGUUCUUCCUGUCGUGUUUGUGUCUUUUUGUCUCUGGCUCUAAGUGUGAGCUACAGGAGAAGCACCCUGGGGCCUGCUACUUCACUGCUCCACACUGCUUGUUAUGAACAUUAGUUGGAUUUAUGAAGAGCACAGUGAUCCAGUAAGUGGAAAAAAAUGCUUGCUCGUAUAUUAAAAAGAGGCCAUGGUUAUAAUCGUUCUCUCUGACACGAGACCUUUAAUUUUCUGCAGGGCCCGCACAGCAAGCUUUAUCAUGCCUGAGAACACCUGGCUCCAACCAUCCCACAGCCUUCUUGUCUCCCUGCUGUGCCGCCUCACCCCUUAAGUCUGUGCUCUUCAUGAAGGCCAACGACGGCAACAAAUAAGGGGGUGUUUGUCUGGCUGGCACUGUGCAAAAUAAACAGGUUUGGAUCAUGA